GUGAGCUCCAGGUGAGACCCAAACUGGGGGGGACACAGGGAUAUGGGUGGGGGUGGGAACUGGUGUGAGAAUGGCCCAAAAUUGAUGAUGAUGAUGAUGAUGAUGAUGAUGAUGAUGAUGAUGAUACCAGAGUUGGGGGACGGCGAUGAUGACAACAACAACAAUAAUGAUGACCCUGAAAUUUGGGGAGGAGGAGGAGGAGGAGGAGGAGGAGGAGGAUGACAAUCAUCCCAGAGUUUAAAGAUGAUGAUGAUGAUGGUGAUGAUGAUGAUACUGGAAUUGGACAAUGAUGAUGAUGACAGUGACAAUGAUGACGGUGAUGGUGAUGGUGGUAACGAUGACAAUGAUGAGGAUGACAAUGAUGAUGAUGAUGACAACGGUUAUAAUGAUAAUGACAAUGGUGACAAUGGGGACAAUGGUGACAAUGGUGACAAUGACAACGAUGAUGAUGAUGAUGGUGAUGACGAUGAUGAUGACAAUGAAGAUUGUGAUCACGAUGGUGAUAAUGACAGUGAUGAUGGACAAUGAUGAUGACGAUGGUGAUGGUGACAGUGAUGAUGGACAAUGAUGAUGAUGACGAUGGUGAUGGUGAGAGUGAUGAUGGACAAUGAUGAUGACGAUGGCAAUAAUGACAAUGAUGACAAUGGUGAGGGUGGUAAUGAUAACGAUGACGAUGGUGGACGAUGACAAUGACAGUGACAAUGCUGACAAAGACAAUGCUGACGACAGUGAUGAUGAUGGUAAUGAUGAUAACGGUGAUGGGGGUGACAAUGAUGACGAUGACAAUGACAAUGAUGACAACGACAAUGACAAUGACGACAACGACAAUGAUGGUGAUGACGAUGGUGGCCAUGGCGAUGAUGACAAUGACAGUGGUGAUGAUGACAACACUGACAUGAUGAUAACAGUGAUGAUGAUGACAAUGAUGACAAUAAUAAUGAUGACAAUGACAACGAUGACAGUUACAAUGACAAUGAUGACAGUGCCAAUGAUGACAGUGACAAUGACAAUACUGAGAAUGACAAUGGUGACAAUGACAAUGAUGAUGACAGCGAUUACAAUGACAGUGCUGACAAUGAUAAUGAUGAUGAUAAUGACAAUGAUGAUGACAAUGACAAUGAUGACAAUGACAAUGAUGAUGACAAUGACAGUGCUGACAAUGACAACACUGACAAUGAUGAUGAUGAUGAUGACGAUGAUGACAACGGUGAUGAUGAUAACAACGAUGAUGGUGACGAUGACGAUGAUGAAGAUGACACUGCCAGCCUUCCCCCCAGGACCGGAAGCUGACAAAGGUGGAGCAGCAGCGCUUCAAGGAGGAGGCCGAGAUGCUCAAGGGGCUCCAGCACCCGAACAUCGUCCGGUUCUACGACUCCUGGGAGUCGACGCUGAGGGGCAAGAAAUGCAUCGUCCUCGUCACCGAGCUCAUGACCUCGGGCACCCUCAAGACGUACCUGAAGAGGUUCAAGGUGAUGAAGCCCAAGGUGCUGCGGAGCUGGUGCCGCCAGAUCCUGAAGGGGUUGCAGUUCCUGCACACCAGGACCCCCCCCAUCAUCCAUCGCGACCUCAAGUGUGACAACAUCUUCAUCACCGGCCCCACUGGCUCCGUCAAGAUCGGGGACCUGGGGCUGGCCACGCUCAUGAGGACCUCCUUCGCCAAGAGCGUCAUUGGUGAGCGCGGGGACCCCGGGGACCAGCGUGGGGACACCUGGGACCAUCCGGGGAUAUCCUGGGACCACCAUGGGAACAUUCUGGGACAUCCUGGGACCACCAUGGGGACAUCCAGGGACCACCAUGGGAACAUUCUGAGACAUCUUGGAACUUCCUGGGACCACCCUGGGAUCAAC
ensembl:lncRNA